AGGACGAACGCUGGCGGCGUGCCUAACACAUGCAAGUGGAGCGACGAACCAGGCUUCGGCCUGGGGCAAAGCCGCGAACGGGUGAGUAACACGUGGGUAACCUGCCCCGAUGAUUGGGACAACCCGAGGAAACUCGGGCUAAUACCGAAUAUGACCUCCGGCCUCAAGGCCGCUGGGGAAAGGAAGCUUCGGCCUCCGCAUCGGGAUGGGCCCGCGGCCCAUUAGCUUGUUGGUGAGGUAACGGCUCACCAAGGCAACGAUGGGUAGCUGGUCUGAGAGGACGAUCAGCCACACUGGGACUGAGACACGGCCCAGACUCCUACGGGAGGCAGCAGUGGGGAAUCUUGCGCAAUGCGCGAAAGCGUGACGCAGCAACGCCGCGUGGGGGAAGACGGCCUUCGGGUUGUAAACCCUUUCAGCAGGGACGAAGCGAAAGUGACGGUACCUGCAGAAGAAGCGCCGGCUAACUACGUGCCAGCAGCCGC
rnacentral:rRNA from 1 species